UGGAGAAUUCUGUCGAAGCAGUAGCUGUUACAAUUAGCCAAUAACCUCUACGUAGCUCCUAGCAUAAGACUAGAGAUUAAGCAAAUAAAAGUAAACAAAGCUUACGAAAUUUUCGUGAAUGUUAUUCACGAAAAUUUCGUUUAUCGUCGUAUGAAGUUGUAUUACAAUAACUUCAGCCUAAGGCUUAACAUCUGGCAUACAGUCGCAAAAGCGCACAUUCCUAGAACAUCCACUGAACAAGAAAAGCGAAUACAUCUGGCAACACAAAAUGCUUCGCUCUCGAAAAGCUCUCUAAGAGCGCUCAGAUACUUCCACGACAUCUGAAAUCCAUUGUUCCGAUCAUUCUCGUUUGCUGAUUCUUCUGAACGGAGGCAAGAGCCGGAGUCUGUCCACAAAUCGCCGGAAAAUCAUCCUCACCACAAAAAAAAACCCAAAAGGAAAUAUCGUCAGCGUGCACAUCAACGAUCGGAGACGAGAAGAAACAUCACAACUCCAUCGUCGAAGAAACCCGAAAAGGUGUACCGCUUAACUGAGCGAUUCUUCAAUCGGACACGACAGUCUCGGCGAACAGGCUCAUCAGCCCUGUAAAGGAAUACAGCAUCGAGAGGCUAAACGCAAAAUCUGCAACCCGAUCAUCACCCCACCCCGUUCGACAAAAGGCCCUCCAGAGAGGUAUUACAUGGAUGUCACUUUUUCCCUAUUGGAAACCUAACCUAAUAGCACGAUCAUUCUUAUUAGGGCCUUUUUAUUGGACACCUACCACGCUGCCGCAACCGCAAGCGAACGUCGAGGGCCACCACACGACGUCGCCUGUUCCCCACACAAGUGUCCAAGGGAAGCUCAUCGACGCGGAGUAAGAUUAGUGUGCGUAGUAGUGCUGCAGGUGUGUGCACUCGCAGGAGAGAGAAGGACGCCCUCCACUCACACCACACCAUCAUCGACGGACACCACAUCGACGGCGUCGAGUCACAGUGAAGAACGAUCGUCGGUAUUGGAAUAGUCGCGUACGUCCGAGUGUUGAGGCCGAAUUAAGAGCGCGUGUGUCGUACAAACAGCAACAGGGAAAGUGCGGAGUGAUCGCGUGUGUGCAGCCCCAGGCAGUGUCAACAAGCAAGAAAGCUUGUUUGUCGUAGAAGAAGGUGAAUCGUCGGGUGAUUUAAGGGUUGGCGACAUGCAUGUUUGAGAAUGCAGUACUAGAUCGCCAGUGUGAAUCCAAUAGGAAUGUUAUUGUGCCAAAUGUGAAAAUGCACCUACAGUGUGCCAUCGAAUAAGGCGCCUUCAGAGAAGAGCGCUAUCAGAAUAAUCGUCGCAAGCUUCAGAUCCUGCAACUGCGGGGCCCCAGCAUCAUCUGCAUCGGCGUUCCAGAUACACCGGCGGCACCAGCCGCGCGAUCAACAGUGAGCAGCAAUAGCGACAAAAGGAGUAGGUGACAGAUUAAGGUAGGGUAGCUGUAAGUCCUUCCAGUAAUGCGAAUAAUAUAUGAAGAUGUUUCGCUACAUAUGCUUAUCAUUUGUUGAUGCCUCCGUUCCCCUAUUGGCUGGGCGAGAAGCUUAAAAACGAACAGAGCGCCAUAGCCGGGCACAAACCAAAGAAACCAUAGCGCUCGUCCACCCAAUUGCGUGGCUCGGCUAUUUAGAAUUUAGCGAGUGGAGUGUAGAUUU